ACUCCUAGCGGGAGGCAGCAGUGGGGAAUUAUUGCCACAAUGGGCGCAAGCCUGAUGCAGCCAUGCCGCGUGUGUGAAGAAGGCCUUCGGGUUGUGAAAGCACUUUCAGUCGUGAGGAAGGUAGUGUAGUUAAUAGCUGCAUUAUUUGACGUUAGCGACAGAAGAAGCACCGGCUAACUCCGUGCCAGCAGCCGCGGUAAUACGGAGGGUGCGAGCGUUAAUCGGAAUUACUGGGCGUAAAGCGCAUGCAGGUGGUUUGUUAAGUCAGAUGUGAAAGCCCGGGGCUCAACCUCGGAAUUGCAUUUGAAACUGGCAGACUAGAGUACUGUAGAGGGGGGUAGAAUUUCAGGUGUAGCGGUGAAAUGCGUAGAGAUCUGAAGGAAUACCGGUGGCGAAGGCGGCCCCCUGGACAGAUACUGACACUCAGAUGCGAAAGCGUGGGGAGCAAACAGGAUUAGAUACCCUGGUAGCUACGAGU
rnacentral:rRNA from 1 species